UCUCUCUGAAUCUGCGUACGGCUCCGCAAACCAGUUGUAAACUAUAGCAAGCAAGCCCGGGUUCCCUUCGCGGGGAGCUCGGGCAACACGGAUAACCCUGGUAAUUCUGAGGCUAAUACGAGAACGCAAUCCCUGGCCGACCGGGCAACUGGAAGGCUGGGAGGCGUGCACGUUGUGUCGCGAGAAAUCGCCGGGAAUGGAUGCAUGCCUGGACCGCGCCAAAGACAGAUGGGUGUUCCGGCCUUAACGGGCUGGAGUGCCUGCCUGAGCGGCUCUUGCUGUGUGCUUCUGACCUAUCAACUAGACGGCAGCGCAAAGGACAUGCUAUGGUUACAACGGGUACAGAGGAUUAGGGUUCGAUCCUGGAGAGUGGGCCUGAGAGAUCUCC
rnacentral:rRNA from 1 species